GACGAACGCUGGCGGCGUGCCUAAUACAUGCAAGUCGAGCGAAGUUUUUCUGGUGCUUGCACUAGAAAAACUUAGCGGCGAACGGGUGAGUAACACGUAAAGAACCUGCCUCAUAGACUGGGACAACUAUUGGAAACGAUAGCUAAUACCGGAUAACAGUAUUUCUCGCAUGAGAGAUAUUUAAAAGUUGGUUAUGCUAACACUAUGAGAUGGCUUUUCGGUGCAUUAGCUAGUUGGCGGGGUAAAGGCCCACCAAGGCGACGAUGCAUAGCCGACCUGAGAGGGUGAUCGGCCACACUGGGACUGAGACACGGCCCAGACUCCUACGGGAGGCAGCAGUAGGGAAUCUUCCGCAAUGGGCGAAAGCCUGACGGAGCAACGCCGCGUGAGUGAAGAAGGAUUUCGGUUCGUAAAGCUCUGUUGUUAGGGAAGAAUGGAUAUGUAGUAACUAUACAUGUAAGAGACGGUACCUAACCAGAAAGCCACGGCUAACUACGUG
rnacentral:rRNA from 1 species